ACAGAUCUUUGCUGGCUAGCUAGCUAGCUAGCUAGGUGACGUAAAUUGUGUGAGACGAGAGAUGUUCACUGAGCGGUUUCACACAAAACUGAGUGGUACUAUGACAAACCUACAGCUAACUGAGACUUUCUUAGGCUGAAAAAUUAUCUUUUAAAAUUGACACACAUCAUAUUUGUAAUCCAUGGAUCAAUUCAAACGGGA